rnacentral:rRNA from 1 species
AUUGAACGCUGGCGGCAUGCCUUACACAUGCAAGUCGAACGGCAGCACGGGUGCUUGCACCUGGUGGCGAGUGGCGAACGGGUGAGUAAUACAUCGGAACAUGUCCUGUAGUGGGGGAAAGCCGGGCGAAAGCCGGAUAAUUACCGCAUACGACCACCGGAUGAAAGGGGGGGACCUUCGGGCUUCGCGCAAUAGGGUGGGCGGAUGGCUGAUUAGCUAGUUGGUGGGGUAAAGGCCUACCAAGGCGACGAUCAGUAGCUGGUCUGAGAGGACGACCAGCCACACUGGGACUGAGACACGGCCCAGACUCCUACGGGAGGCAGCAGUGGGGAAUUUUGGACAAUGGGCGAAAGCCUGAUCCAGCAAUGCCGCGUGUGUGAAGAAGGCCUUCGGGUUGUAAAGCACUUUUGUCCGGAAAGAAAUCCUUGGCCCUAAUACGGUCGGGGGAUGACGGUACCGGAAGAAUAAGCACCGGCUAACUACGUG